CUUCUCUCUUUCUUUUCUUCAUAUUAUUAAUAUGAAGUACAUUAUCAUUAAGUAAUAGGAACAAAAGACCAGUAUCAAUAUAAGCAUUUCUAUAAAAUUUACUAGAAAAAUAUAUAAAACAACUAUUAUUCUUUGCUUUUAUUUCAAAAUCUUGUUCUAAUAAUAAUGAUACAUAAAUAAUAUUUUUAAUGAUAUUAGGGAUAUAAUAACAGGUCUUUAGUUCUAAAACUUCGUCCGAAUGCAACUACAAAAUCUUGAUUUCCACGAUUUUGGUCUGAAUGAACUCUCCACU
rnacentral:lncRNA from 1 species